AGGUACUGCUGACUUACAGCAGGCAACAUGCAUUUAUUUAGAGAAUGGUGACAAUAUAUUGAACACCCAAACCCUUUAUCUCCCAGACAAUUCUUUAAUACCAGGAGAUUCCUGAUACACAAGAGAAGAAGCUAUGGGUAAACAGCCACCUGCUUGCAGACCUGCCUGAGCCAAUGAACCUGGAAUAGAAAAGCAAAUACCUACAUUUUGAAAAGAUGGAAGUAUAAACAAAGCAGUCGACAAGAUAAUGGAUGAAAAAGCAGAAGAAUACAUGAAAAGUCAAACCUUCAAGAGUUAGAAGAAGCUAGCAUGCCAGUUCCCAAGGAUGUAUGAAGUGAGUGCUUAGACAUGGA